GAAAGAAAGCUCCAGAAAACAUCUGUGGCUGCUGGCUUUCUCGUGCCUCCCAUUGUUGGGAGACCAUGGACGUCGGUGGAGGAGGGAAGUUCUGUCACCUGUUUGGAAGCCGAAGCUGGCAACUCUGACUGGCUUGUGACAGCUGCGAGAGACUCCAGCUUGGUACCGGAAGAGCGAGGAGAAGCAGCUUGUGUGGUGAGCGCGGAUGAUGGAGGUGACCCUGGAGGAGAGAGGUCUGUUCUUAGUGCUGUCAUGAUGAGAGGCCUUGUUUGGACCAGAGUCUCAGUGGGGUCCUUGGCAAGAUCCAGGGAGGCGCUAUGUCCACUUCCUUGGUAAGGGGAUGAAGAGAAGUCCACAUGUGCCCUGGUCCUACGGUGUGCCUUAGGCAGAGGUGUCUGGGAUAGCUUCAGCAAGGUUGUGUUGUCAGGAGGCUGUCCCAGCACAUUCUUGAAUCUGUCUGCUGCUGAGGAAGACUUGACUUCCAAGAAAGGCCAUGUUGGUGAAAUUGGUAACAAUUUCCCAAGGGGAAAGGACUCUGAGGUCGGAGUGACAUGUAUCUGUAGAUUGUCUGUCCCUGUGAAAGAAAGCAUCCACAUGAGAUGUGGGAUCAGGAUGCACUGCAAUGGGCAGGCGCUGGAGACAAGGAGCAAGCAAGACAGGCCCUGCCUGGCCACAGUCCUUCUGCUCAUCACAGAACCCUCAUGAAACAACUCAAACAAGGAACGAAGUAGCAAGGAACGAACCUGGGCUUGCUUUCAUGUAAGAGGAGCCGUGGAUCACAAAGGGGACACCCUCUGCUGGAAGAGCGCAAAAGCAGGUCGGUAUGAGGGGUCCUCCCUCCCAGGCCUAGGCUGCAUCUCCAGUUGCUUUUCUCAGGGACUGAAGUCUGCCAACCGAAAAAAAGAACAACUGGAGAAAGUCUUAUAAUAGGAAGGUUUGCGAAUGAAUACACAACAGCCUCUUCAUGACAAAAGCUGAGCUGUGAUUGUCUUCUGAGAUGGUUUUUCCAGUUUUCCCUUUUGCAGCUUGAAGAAGGAAGGGUGGACGGUGUCUUUCACCCUAAGUAAGAACACGUGGACAGCUUUCAUUUUGAUCCUCUGUGCUCUUGUGAUUUCCCUUUUCCUUUUUUAAAUAAAAUUUUAAAUUAUUUUAACUU
ensembl:antisense Gm13883 predicted gene 13883